GACGAACGCUGGCGGCGUGCUUAACACAUGCCAGUCGAACGGAAAGGCCCUGCUUUUGUGGGGUGCUCGAGUGGCGAACGGGUGAGUAACACGUGAGUAACCUGCCCUUGACUUUGGGAUAACUUCAGGAAACUGGGGCUAAUACCGGAUAGGAGCUCCUGCUGCAUGGUGGGGGUUGGAAAGUUUCGGCGGUUGGGGAUGGACUCGCGGGUUAUCAGCUUGUUGGUGGGGUAGUGGCUUACCAAGGCUUUGACGGGUAGCCGGCCUGAGAGGGUGACCGGCCACAUUGGGACUGAGAUACGGACCAGACUCCUACGGGAGGCAGCAGUGGGGAGUAUUGCACAGUGGGCGGAAGCCUGAUGCAGCAACGCCGCGUGCGGGAUGACGGCCUUCGGGUUGUAAACCGCUUUCGCCUGUGACGAAGCGUGAGUGACGGUAAUGGGUAAAGAAGCACCGGCUAACUACGUG
rnacentral:rRNA from 1 species